GGCUCAGAAUGAACGCUGGCGGCGUGGAUUAGGCAUGCAAGUCGAACGGGGGCUUCGGCCCCAGUGGCGAACUGGUCCGUACAAGUUGGGUAACCUGCCCGGAAGUUGGGGACAACGUCUCGAAAGGGGCGCUAAUACCGAAUGUGGUCACGAUUUCUUCGGGAGCUGUGACCAAAGGCUUCGGCCGCUUCCGGAUGGGCCCGACCCCCAUUAGCUAGUUGGUGAGGUAACGGCUCACCAAAGCCGCGAUGGGUAGGUGGUCUGAGAGGAUGGUCACCGACACGAGGACUGAGAUACGGCCUCGACUCCUACGGGGGGCAGCAGUCUAGAAGCUUCGGCAAUGGAGGAAACUCUGACCGAGCGACGCCGCGUGCAGGAUGACGGCCUUCGGGUUGUAAACUGCUUUCGGCAGGAAGGAAGGCCCCUGUGGCGAACAGGGGAUUGACCUACCUGCGGAAGAAGCCCCGGCUAACUCUGUGCCAGCAGCCGCGGUAAUACAGAGGGGGCAAGCGUUAUUCGGAUUUACUGGGCGUAAAGGGCGUGUAGGCGGCUUCGAAAGUCUGGUGUGAAAACGCUACCGCUCAACGGAGCGAUUGCGCUGGAAACUUCGAAACUUGAGUCCGCGAGAGGUUGGCAGAAUGCCUGGUGGAGCGGUGGAAUGCUUAGAUAUCAGGCGGAAUACCAGAGGCGAAGGCGGCCAACUGGCGCGGUACUGACGCUGAGGCGCGAAAGCGUGGGGAGCGAACAGGAUUAGAUACCCUGGUAGUCCACGCUGUAAACGGUGUGCACUAGCCGUGGGAGGUACCCAUUCCUUCCGUGGCGCAGGAAACCUAUUAAGUGCACCGCCUGGGGAGUACGGCCGCAAGGUUGAAACUCAAAGGAAUUGACGGGGGCCCGCACAAGCGGUGGAGCAUGUGGUUUAAUUCGACGCAACGCGAAGAACCUUACCAGGGCUCGAACGAAAGCUCAUAUCGGGUGAAAGCCCGUGCCCUUCGGGGGUGCUUUCGAGGUGCUGCAUGGCUGUCGUCAGCUCGUGUCGUGAGAUGUUGGGUUAAGUCCCGCAACGAGCGCAACCCUCGCCCUUAGUUGCCAGCGCGUCAUGGCGGGGACUCUAGGGAUACUGCCCGGGGAACCGGGAGGAAGGUGGGGACGACGUCAAGUCAUCAUGGCCCUUACGUCCUGGGCUACACACGUGCUACAAUGGCGCGGACAAUGCGCAGCGAGCGUGCAAGCGUGAGCGAAUCGCACAAACCGCGUCCCAGUUCGGAUUGGAGGCUGCAACUCGCCUCCAUGAAGGUGGAAUCGCUAGUAAUCGCUGAUCAGAAUGCAGCGGUGAAUCAGUUCCCGGGCAUUGUACACACCGCCCGUCACGUCACGAAAGCCGAUUGUACCAGAAGUCGCUGUCGGACAUUCGGGGCCAAGGCGCCGAAGGUAUGAUUGGUAAUUGGGACGAA
rnacentral:rRNA from 1 species